ensembl:lncRNA
GCAUAAUAAGCCACCACCCAAAACUUGAUGGCUUGAAAGUACAUUUUAUCAUUUCUCAUAAUUCUGCAAUCUGAGCUGAGUUCAGCUAGGUGGUUCUUCUGUUCAUGGAGUAUCUACUGGGAUUAGGACAUCCAAGAAAACUUCUUAACCCCCAGCUUUGGUGCCUUGGCUGAGAUAAAUGGAAGAGCUGGGCCAUUCUCUCUCUUUCUCUGGCCUCUUCAGGUGGCUUCCUCACAGUAUGAUGACAUCAGAGUACAUGGCAGAUGGCUUCCAACUGGGAGGAAGAAGAAGCUUCCAGUGCAUAUAGGGUCUGGGUUCAGAACUACCAGAACAUUAUUUCUACUGCACUCUGUUGAUCAAAGCAAGUCACAAGACCAGCCCUUCAGGGAAAGGAAGCACUUUCUACUUCUUGAUAGAAGGAGCACUUUGCACACACAGGGAGAGAUGAAUUAACAAUGGUCCUCUUUGGAGACUACCUACCCCAGAGAACUGCGCAGGAGGCAUUGAAAGGUCCAUUGGUUCAUUCCUCUGCGUCCAACUGAACAUCGACCAAAUCAGAGAGCAGGCAGCCAUUCCCUCUCAAGCCCUCCUCUGCAAACAUACUCUGAAGAUCAAUGUGAUAGCUGGAGCUUUAGCUGCCACAUUGGCCUAUGAAGUGAAUUUGAAGAUGCAAGUCGUAUACUAAGGAUGACAAAACAAAAAGAGGAAAUCUGAAAUUUUGAUGACACUGUAGCUCCCAUAUCAGCCAGAAUCCUAUUUUAUUUUGAAUGAUAGAGAAAUAGGCUUCCAUCUUAUUGAAACCAUUGUUAUUUCCUCCUUUACCUGGGACAUCACAAGCCUAGAGAAUUUUUGGAAGGCCUUGACUAAAGAGUGAAAAAUUAAGGAUUUUAUUUGUUUUUUGGUAUGUUCAUUUUUGAAGUUAAAUAAGCUGUAAAAUAAAGGUGAUAUAGCUUGACAAAAUGGUCUCUGAGCUCAAUCAUAAAAGGAAUCAAGAGAUUAUGUAUUAUUGUGUUAUGUAGUCAUUUGGUUUAAACAAAAAGAGGC